CACCCUGUUACUGUUACUAGCCAGUUAAAAUGCAAAUAUCCUUCCAGGUAAUUAGAAAAUUACUGUAGUGAGCGUGCAGCUUCUUGUAUUUUUCUUUUACAGCUCACCUUAGAAUACCUUGAACGGACGUCCAAGGUGUCUGAUGGAUCAGAGGCGACUGAAAAUCAGACCUGCGCUAUAGAAGUGGUAGUUGGAUCCUCAAGAUCUAAGAGAAGAUGGCGAGCUGAGUCUAACAGCGGUGACCCUAAAACAGAAACCUCAAAAAGGAGGAGCUGGUCACCUGAGGAGGUACAGGCUGUGGAAAAGACACUAAUGGCCUUCAUAGGAGCUGGUACAGUACCAGGAAUGUUGGAUUGUGUUGCCUGCAUUACAGCUUCACCAAAAGCACUUAAAAAACGAAGCUGGAUGGCGGUAAAGUACUAUGUUAAAACCCGUAUCACUGAGAUUCAGCGUGAAAGUGCAAGAAAAACGAACUGAGAAGACUGCGGUUCUUUCACGUUCUUAAAUGUGUGGAUACAUGUGUUUCUUUCUGCACUUGUUCUCAAUUAUGGUGAUAAUUAUGAUGCUCUUUGCUCUUGUUCUUACAUGAAUAACACACAGAAACAGAGUCAUUCUUCUCAAAAGAUGCUACCUAGACGGCGAUGAUAGACUGCCAAUGGAUGAAAACACUCGAUUGGCCUAUCAACAUCAGAUUGACUGAUUCUCCUGCAGGAGGUCCAAACCAGGAGGAGGAGACCUCAUCACUAUCAUCAUUUAUAUCAUCAGUAGUAACACUAUCAUCACUAUCAUCACUACCAUCAUCAUCAUCAGCAUCAGAGGUUUCAUCUGAGCUCACCUUAGAAUACCUUGAACGGACGUCCAAGGUGUCUGAUGGAUCAGAGGCGACUGAAAAUCAGACCUGCGCUAUAGAAGUGGUAGUUGGAUCCUCAAGAUCUAAGAGAAGAUGGCGAGCUGAGUCUAACAGCAGUGACCCUAAAACAGUUCUCUGGACUCUACCUGGUCUCACUGGUAGUCAUCCUCAUUGGCUUCAUCACCUUCAACGCCGUGCCAACACCCACUGAGGGCACAGAUCCCGCCAUCACCUCCUCCUCCUCUUCCUCUUCCAUCUGUGAGGGAGGUUUCUAUGACAAUCCUGUGGCCAAUCAGAGUGACAUCACCAAACAGGAAGUGGCAGUGAGGAUCACGGCUGAGGAGGAGGAGGAGGAGAGGAGAGCUUCAGGGCCAUCACAGAGCCUCGGAGGACGAAGAGAUGAAGAAGAUGUUGUUGCCGUUGGACACAGCACUAAAAUGUGAGCUCUAACACAAAAGGCCAUUAGGUUGAAUAUUUUUUAAACACAUUUAUUUAUUGAGUUUUGCUUUUAUAUAGAAAUACAGAGAACAAACUUGUAUUUUUAGUGGGACACGGCUCUUCCUGGAACGACAUCAGUAGCUGUUGUUGUUGUUAUGAUGUUGUUGUAUCAGUAGCUGUUGUUGUCAUGAUGUUGUUGUAUCAGUAGCUGUUGUUUCGAUGGAAGUCCAUAAAUGAAUCACACAUAUUUUCAAACUCUUGUGCUUUUCUUCUAUAGUGUGUCAUAAUUUUACCCCCUAAGAAGGCAGCAAACAGUCCUUUCAUCCACCGGCUGUAUAUUGUUUUUCAAUGCAUUUAACCAAACAAAGCACAUCAAAUACUUUGCAUGAAGGACUAAAGAAUAAUAAUUAUAUCAUCACUCUACCUGGUCUCACUGGUAGUCAUCCUCAUUGGCUUCAUCACCUUCAACACCGUGCCAACACCCACUGAGGGCACAGAUCCCGCCAUCACCUCCUCCUCCUCUUCCUCUUCCAUCUGUGAGGGAGGUUUCUAUGACAAUCCUGUGGCCAAUCAGAGUGACAUCACCAAACAGGAAGUGGCAGUGAGGAUCACGGCUGAGGAGAAGGAGGAGGAGGAGGAGAAGAGGAGAGCUUCAGGGCCAUCACAGAGCCUCGGAGGACGAAGAGAUGAUUGAAUUUAUGUGAUGGUUAUGGUAUUUUUAAUUGAAAAUGCUAAUAUAUCAUAAUUAACGAGCAGACGAUGCUGAAAGACACAAAAGAAGACCUCAAUGGGGCCAGACAAAAAAAUCGCAUCUGAAAUGAUCAAAACCAGCUCCUCCGUUACAAAGUGGCGGCCCAUGAACCACAGCUUGAAAAGACUAAAUUUACGACGAAAGAUCUGCAGACGUAUCAGCUACGAUUCAAGGAGGAUUUAGAGGCAUGCUUACCUUUUCUUGAUAAGCCCAAGAAAUUAAGAAACAGAGUCAUUCUUCUCAAAAGAUGCUACCUAGACGGCGAUGAUAGACUGCCAAUGGAUGAAAACACUCGAUUGGCCUAUCAACAUCAGAUUGACUGUUUAAAGAAAAAGCUUGCUAGCACUCUAGAGGUCAACAAGGCUCUUUCCAACAAAAAACCUCAAAAAGGAGGAGCUGGUCACCUGAGGAGGUACAGGCUGUGGAAAAGACACUAAUGGCCUUCAUAGGAGCUGGUACAGUACCAGGAAUGUUGGAUUGUGUUGCCUGCAUUACAGCUUCACCAAAAGCACUUAAAAAACGAAGCUGGAUGGCGGUAAAGUACUAUGUUAAAACCCGUAUCACUGAGAUUCAGCGUGAAAGUGCAAGAAAAACUAACUGAGAAGACUGCGGUUCUUUCACGUUCUUAAAUGUGUGGAUACAUGUGUUUCUUUCUGCACUUGUUCUCAAUUAUGGUGAUAAUUAUGAUGCUCUUUGCUCUUGUUCUUACAUGAAUAACACACAGAAACAGAGUCAUUCUUCUCAAAAGAUGCUACCUAGACGGCGAUGAUAGACUGCCAAUGGAUGAAAACACUCGAUUGGCCUAUCAACAUCAGAUUGACUGUUUAAAGAAAAAGCUUGCUAGCACUCUAGAGGUCAACAAGGCUCUCUCCAACGAAGUAAGAAAUCGUGAAAUGCGGGUACAGAGCAAUGCUAAAACUGCACACGAGGAAAGGGCCGCUUUAAUUGGACAUAUAAAUAAAAUGGUUGAGAAGCACAAACCACAGAAAGCAAAAUCAACCAGUAACCUAGGCCGUGUCCCAGUUCAUUUCCCACCUAUUAAUCAGCCUCAUCCUCCUACAGAACAGCAGCAGCGCUUUUUAAGCUCAGAGCUCAGACGGCUCAGCAGUUAGCACAGUGGCCUCUUAGAAGGUCUCAGGUACAGACUUGGGGUCUCAUUUAUAAAGCUGCAUGCACAUGUUCAUAAAUCACAGUAGUAGUUAAUGUUGUUGUGUUUUCUGCUUUUGAGGUUGUGUUUUGUUAUUUGUUGUUGUGUUUUCUUAUUUGUCGUUGUGAUGUACACUUCAGGGCCACCGUAAAGAAGCAAUAGGAAUUAAAUCCAAUGCUGACAUGUCUGCAGCUGGAACCUCUCAGCAGAGCUGGAGACUUAAAGCCUCUGGAAAUGUAGCCCGAAGUAGCAAAAAAUGCAUAUAUGAUAUCAAAGUUGAGUGUCUCAUUAAGUAU